rnacentral:rRNA from 1 species
UACAGAGGGGGCGAGCGUUGUUCGGAAUUACUGGGCGUAAAGGGCGCGUAGGCGGCCCUCUAAGUCGAACGUGAAAUCCCCGGGCUCAACCCGGGAACUGCGUCCGAUACUGGAGGGCUCGAAUCCGGGAGAGGGAUGUGGAAUUCCAGGUGUAGCGGUGAAAUGCGUAGAUAUCUGGAGGAACACCGGUGGCGAAGGCGGCAUCCUGGACCGGUAUUGACGCUGAGGCGCGAAAGCGUGGGGAGCGAACAGG